ACACAGUGCUCAGUUGGUAGAGCAUGAGAUUCUUAAUCUCAGGGUUGUGGGUUCGAGCCCCACAUUGGGCA